rnacentral:rRNA from 1 species
AUUGAACGCUGGCGGCAUGCUUUACACAUGCAAGUCGAACGGCAGCGCGGGCUUCGGCCUGGCGGCGAGUGGCGAACGGGUGAGUAAUACCUCGGAACGUGCCCAGUAGUGGGGGAUAGCUCGGCGAAAGCCGGAUUAAUACCGCAUACGACCUGAGGGUGUAAGCGGGGGAUCUUCGGACCUCGCGCUAUUGGAGCGGCCGAUGGCGGAUUAGCUAGUUGGUGGGGUAAAGGCCUACCAAGGCGACGAUCUGUAGCUGGUCUGAGAGGACGACCAGCCACACUGGGACUGAGACACGGCCCAGACUCCUACGGGAGGCAGCAGUGGGGAAUUUUGGACAAUGGGCGAAAGCCUGAUCCAGCAAUGCCGCGUGUGUGAUGAAGGCCUUCGGGUUGUAAAGCACUUUUGGCGGGAACGAAAAGGACUGUGCCAAUACCACGGUUCGAUGACGGUACCCGCAGAAUAAGCACCGGCUAACUACGUG